CCAGGCCAUGCCGCCCUGAACGCUCCCGAUCUCAUCUGAGCUCAGAAGCUAAGCAGGGUCGGGCCCGGUUAGUACUUGGAUGGGAGACUGGAAACAGUGAUGGCAGAUGCUUGCU
rnacentral:rRNA from 1 species